AUGCUCCCUUCGGCAGCAUAUAUACUAAAACUGGAACGAUACAGAGAAGAUUAGCAUGGCCCCUGUGUAAGGAUGACAUGCAAAUUUGUGAAGGAAGCUGGGCAUGG